AACGAACGCUGGCGGCAGGCCUAACACAUGCAAGUCGAGCGAGGUAGCAAUACCUAGCGGCGGACGGGUGAGUAACGCGUGGGAACGUACCCUUUGCUACGGAAUAGCCCCGGGAAACUGGGAGUAAUACCGUAUGUGCCCUUCGGGGGAAAGAUUUAUCGGCAAAGGAUCGGCCCGCGUUGGAUCAGGUAGUUGGUGGGGUAAUGGCCUACCAAGCCGACGAUCCAUAGCUGGUUUGAGAGGAUGAUCAGCCACACUGGGACUGAGACACGGCCCAGACUCCUACGGGAGGCAGCAGUGGGGAAUCUUAGACAAUGGGCGCAAGCCUGAUCUAGCCAUGCCGCGUGAGUGAUGAAGGCCUUAGGGUUGUAAAGCUCUUUCAGAUGGGAAGAUAAUGACGGUACCAUCAGAAGAAGCCCCGGCUAACUCCGUGCCAGCAGCCGCGGUAAAGUAGUCGUG
rnacentral:rRNA from 1 species